GAUGAACGCUGGCGGCGUGCCUAAUACAUGCAAGUCGAGCGAACAGACGAGGAGCUUGCUCCUUUGACGUUAGCGGCGGACGGGUGAGUAACACGUGGAUAACCUACCUAUAAGACUGGGAUAACUUCGGGAAACCGGAGCUAAUACCGGAUAAUAUAUUGAACCGCAUGGUUCAAUAGUGAAAGACGGUUUUGCUGUCACUUAUAGAUGGAUCCGCGCCGCAUUAGCUAGUUGGUAAGGUAACGGCUUACCAAGGCAACGAUGCGUAGCCGACCUGAGAGGGUGAUCGGCCACACUGGAACUGAGACACGGUCCAGACUCCUACGGGAGGCAGCAGUAGGGAAUCUUCCGCAAUGGGCGAAAGCUUGACGGAGCAACGCCGCGUGAGUGAUGAAGGUCUUCGGAUCGUAAAACUCUGUUAUUAGGGAAGAACAAAUGUGUAAGUAACUAUGCACGUCUUGACGGUACCUAAUCAGAAAGCCACGGCUAACUACGUG
rnacentral:rRNA from 1 species